AGUGAACGCUGGCGGUAGGCCUAACACAUGCAAGUCGAACGGCAGCACAGUAAGAGCUUGCUCGUACGGGUGGCGAGUGGCGGACGGGUGAGGAAUACAUCGGAAUCUACUUUUUCGUGGGGGAUAACGUAGGGAAACUUACGCUAAUACCGCAUACGACCUACGGGUGAAAGCAGGGGAUCUUCGGACCUUGCGCGAUUGAAUGAGCCGAUGUCGGAUUAGCUAGUUGGCGGGGUAAAGGCCCACCAAGGCGUCGAUCCGUAGCUGGUCUGAGAGGAUGAUCAGCCACACUGGAACUGAGACACGGUCCAGACUCCUACGGGAGGCAGCAGUGGGGAAUAUUGGACAAUGGGCGCAAGCCUGAUCCAGCCAUACCGCGUGGGUGAAGAAGGCCUUCGGGUUGUAAAGCCCUUUUGUUGGGAAAGAAAAGCAGCAGGUUAAUACCCCGCUGUUCUGACGGUACCCAAAGAAUAAGCACCGGCUAACUUCGUG
rnacentral:rRNA from 1 species